CACUGUUUGACCCCACAGUGCUCUCUGGAUGUAGGUAAACUACAACUUCCAAACUCAAGGUCAAUGCCCACCAAAUCCUUCCAGUAUUUUCUGUUGGUCAUGGGAGUUCUGUGUGCCAAGAUUGGUUCAAGUCCAUCAUUGGUGGAGUUCAGAAUGCUCUUCGAUUGUAGGUGAACUAUCAAUCUCAGCAAACUGCAACUCCCAAAUGACAAAAUCAACCUCCCCCCUAACCCUAACCCUAACCCUAACCCUAACCCACCACAUUUGGGCAUAUUGAGUAUCUAUGCCAAGUUUGGUCCAGAUCCAUCCAUUGCAUGAAUCCACAGUGAUCUCUGGAUGUAGGUGAACUACAACUCCCAAACUCAAGGUCAAUGCCCACCUAACCGUUCCAGUAUUUUCUGUUGGUCAUGGGAGUUCUGUGUGCCAAGUUUGGUUCAAUUCCAUCAUUGGUGGAGUUCAGAAUGCUCUUUGAUUGUAGGUGAACUAUAAAUCCCAGCAAACUACAACUCCCAAAUGACAAAA